rnacentral:antisense_RNA from 1 species
AGUACUGAGUUAGCGCUCGUCCUCCCGCCGGUCCACCACCACCGAGUGUAGCCCGGGCCCGGCCUAUUUCCUCAGACACAGCCCCAGAGUCGAGAGCCACUCCUACCCCGGGAGCCCUUCGCCAAGCGCGCAGCUCCAGACCAGAAGCAGCCGCUCCGACCCAGAGCUCCGGGUGGGGCAGAAGAAUCUUUUCUUGCUGCUCUCCUAGGAUCUACCAACCAGAGAUUCUAAUGUGAUAUGUUUGGAAUGGAGUUAUCGAUCUGCAUUUUUAAUAGGCAUUCCUCCAGGCUUGGGUCCCAGCUCCAAAAUAUCUUAUUAUCUAUAUGUGAAUAUCCCCAAAUUUGAAAAAUUCAAAAUCUGAAACACUUCUGGUCCCAAGCAUUUCAGACUCCUAAGAGUUAAUAUGAAGUAGAAAGAGAAGUUGGAGUUAAGCAGCUCGUUCCAGUUCUGAUUUUGCCAUUUCCUGUCUGAGUGACCUGAGUAAGUUAUUUAAACUUCUUUGGCCCUCACUGCUUUCAUCAGGAAAAGAGGCUGUGGUGACAGUUAAAGAUGGUAAAAUGACAAAAUGGC